CAACCGAAUGCACCUAGUGCAAAAGUUUUGGAUGACUGAGUUUUUUAUAUAGCCAGUGAGGGCAAGAUGAAUGGUCUUUGUCCGGAACGAGCAAAGUCUAACAGUGAACUUAGGAAGUUCAAAACAAAGUCUUGAAUGUAGUACUCAUCGAACUAGACUUCUCUUUGCAGUAGCAGCCACUGGCUGUAUAAGGGCUUAGGCUUGGGAGGGGCAAG
rnacentral:lncRNA from 1 species